CAGCAGCCACGGGAAUACAGAGGGUGCGAGCGUUAAUCGGAUUUACUGGGCGUAAAGCGUGCGUAGGCGGCUUUUUAAGUCGGAUGUGAAAUCCCUGAGCUUAACUUAGGAAUUGCAUUCGAUACUGGGAAGCUAGAGUAUGGGAGAGGAUGGUAGAAUUCCAGGUGUAGCGGUGAAAUGCGUAGAGAUCUGGAGGAAUACCGAUGGCGAAGGCAGCCAUCUGGCCUAAUACUGACGCUGAGGUACGAAAGCAUGGGGAGCAAACAGGAUUAGAUACCCCAGUAGUCCCUGUCUCUUAUAC
rnacentral:rRNA from 1 species